CUGAGCAGUAUUUUCCCAAUAAGACUCUAGCAAGCAGACACGAAGGUUUCUUAAGAAUUUUCCAACCUAUCUUGGCUAGAAGCGCAACGUUGAAACUGGUAAUGUCCCGGAAACCCAGACCUCCAUCUCUUUUAGAGUUUGUCAUUUUUGACCACGCAAUCCAUGACAUGCUUUUUUUCUCUGUUGAUGAGUCCCACCAAAAGCGAGUGAGGGCAGACUGGAUUCUCUUACACAGUGAAACUGGGAUUUGAAAACAGGACAUCGUGUAGGUAGGCAUAGCUGAGAGAACUGACUUGAGCAUCACAGUUUUUCCUGCUGGGGAAAGAAACCGUGAGGAAUAGCUCAGUGAGCAUUGACGGAUUCUGUCGAUGAUUUGAUUAAACAUAUCUUUUUUCUUCUUGCCAAACAUCUCAGCUUCAUAUCUCUUGAGGAUGUUUAGGAGUGUUUCACAGCUCUGUCUAUCCGAUCUGCAGAAGAACAUUGUAUCAUCUGCGAACAAAAGGUGAUUCACUCUAGGGCUAUUCUUAGCCACUCUUAUUCCCAUGAGACUACCAUCACCCUGUGCUCUUGUACAGAGACCAGAGAGCACCUCACUGCAGAGUAUGAAGAUAUACGGAGACAGAGGGUCACCCUGGCGGAUGCCUCUCUGAGGGGUCACCGAUCCUUGAGCUGCCCCAUUCAGCAGGAAAGAGUAAGUAACGGUGGUGAUGCAUUGCAUUAUCCAUUGUACCCACUUUUCAUGAAAACCCAUCCUCUCUAAAACUCCUUUAAUAAAGUCCCAUUCUAUUCUGUCAUAUGCUUUACUCAUAUCAGUUUUAACCGCCAUGUAGCAACAUUUCUUGGCUUUUGAUGUUUUAAGGUAAUGCAGUGUUUCGUGAGUGAUGAGUACAUUGUCAGUGAUUGCUCUCUUGGGGACGAAGGCUGAUUGAUUCUCGGAAACUACUUCUUGAAGAACAGGUUGGAGGCGUCGAGAAAGAAGCUUGGAAAUGAUCUUGUAAAACACAGUACACAGCGCAAUAGGUUGGCUGAGGAGAAGAAAGCUUGUACUUCAAUAACUAUAUUCGGACCCACUGUUUCCCAAUUUGACUGAAAGAAACUAGCUGAGAAGCCAUCGGGGCCCGGUGCCUUAUCCGCGUGAAUGGAGAAACAUGCUUUCUUAAUCUCCUCAGGAGAAGGAGUUGCUAUCAGUUUUUGAUUAAUCUCAUAUGUGAUGCAGGGAACGAUUGCUUCCUUAAUUAACUCCAAACGUUCCCUCUGUUGGGAAGAAAAUAGCUCCGAGAAAUACUCAGAGAUGACCUUGAGGAUGCCUUCUUCUUCAU